rnacentral:rRNA from 2 species
UUAAGCGACUAAGCGUACACGGUGGAUGCCCUGGCAGUCAGAGGCGAUGAAGGACGUGCUAAUCUGCGAUAAGCGUCGGUAAGGUGAUAUGAACCGUUAUAACCGGCGAUUUCCGAAUGGGGAAACCCAGUGUGUUUCGACACACUAUCAUUAACUGAAUCCAUAGGUUAAUGAGGCGAACCGGGGGAACUGAAACAUCUAAGUACCCCGAGGAAAAGAAAUCAACCGAGAUUCCCCCAGUAGCGGCGAGCGAACGGGGAGGAGCCCAGAGCCUGAAUCAGUGUGUGUGUUAGUGGAAGCGUCUGGAAAGGCGCGCGAUACAGGGUGAUAGCCCCGUACACAAAAAUGCACAUACUGUGAGCUCGAUGAGUAGGGCGGGACACGUGGUAUCCUGUCUGAAUAUGGGGGGACCAUCCUCCAAGGCUAAAUACUCCUGACUGACCGAUAGUGAACCAGUACCGUGAGGGAAAGGCGAAAAGAACCCCGGCGAGGGGAGUGAAAAAGAACCUGAAACCGUGUACGUACAAGCAGUGGGAGCCUCUUUAUGGGGUGACUGCGUACCUUUUGUAUAAUGGGUCAGCGACUUAUAUUCUGUAGCAAGGUUAACCGAAUAGGGGAGCCGAAGGGAAACCGAGUCUUAACUGGGCGUUAAGUUGCAGGGUAUAGACCCGAAACCCGGUGAUCUAGCCAUGGGCAGGUUGAAGGUUGGGUAACACUAACUGGAGGACCGAACCGACUAAUGUUGAAAAAUUAGCGGAUGACUUGUGGCUGGGGGUGAAAGGCCAAUCAAACCGGGAGAUAGCUGGUUCUCCCCGAAAGCUAUUUAGGUAGCGCCUCGUGAAUUCAUCUCCGGGGGUAGAGCACUGUUUCGGCAAGGGGGUCAUCCCGACUUACCAACCCGAUGCAAACUGCGAAUACCGGAGAAUGUUAUCACGGGAGACACACGGCGGGUGCUAACGUCCGUCGUGAAGAGGGAAACAACCCAGACCGCCAGCUAAGGUCCCAAAGUCAUGGUUAAGUGGGAAACGAUGUGGGAAGGCCCAGACAGCCAGGAUGUUGGCUUAGAAGCAGCCAUCAUUUAAAGAAAGCGUAAUAGCUCACUGGUCGAGUCGGCCUGCGCGGAAGAUGUAACGGGGCUAAACCAUGCACCGAAGCUGCGGCAGCGACACUGUGUGUUGUUGGGUAGGGGAGCGUUCUGUAAGCCUGUGAAGGUGUACUGUGAGGUAUGCUGGAGGUAUCAGAAGUGCGAAUGCUGACAUAAGUAACGAUAAAGCGGGUGAAAAGCCCGCUCGCCGGAAGACUAAGGGUUCCUGUCCAACGUUAAUCGGGGCAGGGUGAGUCGACCCCUAAGGCGAGGCCGAAAGGCGUAGUCGAUGGGAAACAGGUUAAUAUUCCUGUACUUGGUGUUACUGCGAAGGGGGGACGGAGAAGGCUAUGUUGGCCGGGCGACGGUUGUCCCGGUUUAAGCGUGUAGGCUGGUUUUCCAGGCAAAUCCGGAAAAUCAAGGCUGAGGCGUGAUGACGAGGCACUACGGUGCUGAAGCAACAAAUGCCCUGCUUCCAGGAAAAGCCUCUAAGCAUCAGGUAACAUCAAAUCGUACCCCAAACCGACACAGGUGGUCAGGUAGAGAAUACCAAGGCGCUUGAGAGAACUCGGGUGAAGGAACUAGGCAAAAUGGUGCCGUAACUUCGGGAGAAGGCACGCUGAUAUGUAGGUGAAGCGACUUGCUCGUGGAGCUGAAAUCAGUCGAAGAUACCAGCUGGCUGCAACUGUUUAUUAAAAACACAGCACUGUGCAAACACGAAAGUGGACGUAUACGGUGUGACGCCUGCCCGGUGCCGGAAGGUUAAUUGAUGGGGUCAGCGCAAGCGAAGCUCUUGAUCGAAGCCCCGGUAAACGGCGGCCGUAACUAUAACGGUCCUAAGGUAGCGAAAUUCCUUGUCGGGUAAGUUCCGACCUGCACGAAUGGCGUAAUGAUGGCCAGGCUGUCUCCACCCGAGACUCAGUGAAAUUGAACUCGCUGUGAAGAUGCAGUGUACCCGCGGCAAGACGGAAAGACCCCGUGAACCUUUACUAUAGCUUGACACUGAACAUUGAGCCUUGAUGUGUAGGAUAGGUGGGAGGCUUUGAAGUGUGGACGCCAGUCUGCAUGGAGCCGACCUUGAAAUACCACCCUUUAAUGUUUGAUGUUCUAACGUGGACCCGUGAUCCGGGUUGCGGACAGUGUCUGGUGGGUAGUUUGACUGGGGCGGUCUCCUCCUAAAGAGUAACGGAGGAGCACGAAGGUUGGCUAAUCCUGGUCGGACAUCAGGAGGUUAGUGCAAUGGCAUAAGCCAGCUUGACUGCGAGCGUGACGGCGCGAGCAGGUGCGAAAGCAGGUCAUAGUGAUCCGGUGGUUCUGAAUGGAAGGGCCAUCGCUCAACGGAUAAAAGGUACUCCGGGGAUAACAGGCUGAUACCGCCCAAGAGUUCAUAUCGACGGCGGUGUUUGGCACCUCGAUGUCGGCUCAUCACAUCCUGGGGCUGAAGUAGGUCCCAAGGGUAUGGCUGUUCGCCAUUUAAAGUGGUACGCGAGCUGGGUUUAGAACGUCGUGAGACAGUUCGGUCCCUAUCUGCCGUGGGCGCUGGAGAACUGAGGGGGGCUGCUCCUAGUACGAGAGGACCGGAGUGGACGCAUCACUGGUGUUCGGGUUGUCAUGCCAAUGGCACUGCCCGGUAGCUAAAUGCGGAAGAGAUAAGUGCUGAAAGCAUCUAAGCACGAAACUUGCCCCGAGAUGAGUUCUCCCUGACCCUUUAAGGGUCCUGAAGGAACGUUGAAGACGACGACGUUGAUAGGCCGGGUGUGUAAGCGCAGCGAUGCGUUGAGCUAACCGGUACUAAUGAACCGUGAGGCUUAACCUU